CCCACGGGUGGCAGCAGUGGGGAAUAUUGGACAAUGGGGGGAACCCUGAUCCAGCCAUGCCGCGUGUGUGAAGAAGGCCCUCGGGUUGUAAAGCACUUUCAGUGAGGAAGAACGCCUGGUGGUUAAUACCCAUCAGGAAAGACAUCACUCACAGAAGUAGCACCGGCUAACUCCGUGCCAGCAGCCGCGGUAAUACGGAGGGUGCGAGCGUUAAUCGGAAUUACUGGGCGUAAAGCGCGCGUAGGUGGCUUGAUAAGCCGGUUGUGAAAGCCCCGGGCUCAACCUGGGAACGGCAUCCGGAACUGUCAAGCUAGAGUGCAGGAGAGGAAGGUAGAAUUCCCGGUGUAGCGGUGAAAUGCGUAGAGAUCGGGAGGAAUACCAGUGGCGAAGGCGGCCUUCUGGACUGACACUGACACUGAGGUGCGAAAGCGUGGGUAGCAAACAGGAUUAGAUACCCUAGUAGUC
rnacentral:rRNA from 1 species